rnacentral:rRNA from 1 species
GACGAACGCUGGCGGCGUGCUUAACACAUGCAAGUCGAGCGGUAAGGCCCUUUCGGGGGUACACGAGCGGCGAACGGGUGAGUAACACGUGGGUGACUUGCCCUUAGCUCUGGGAUAAGCCUGGGAAACUGGGUCUAAUACCGGAUAUGACUCCAUGACGCAUGUUGUGGGGUGGAAAGCCUUGUGCGGCUAGGGAUGGGCCCGCGGCCUAUCAGCUUGUUGGUGGGGUGAUGGCCACCAAGGCGACGACGGGUAGCCGGCCUGAGAGGGCGACCGGCCACACUGGGACUGAGACACGGCCCAGACUCCUACGGGAGGCAGCAGUGGGGAAUCUUGCGCAAUGGGCGAAAGCCUGACGCAGCGACGCCGCGUGGGGAUGACGGCCUCGG